AUUUUCCUCAAAACCCUAUCUCAUUUUGGCACCUCUGAUGUCGUUUUCCCUCUCUCUCUUUUCAUGCUCAACUCUACUGACUUUUUGAGUGCGAUUCAUCGCUCUCUUUAGUUCUCCCCACCUUUGCGCAACUCAUCUCCUUUGUUCUUUCGUCACCACCACCGGUGAGCAUGGCUUCUUGUUAUCACCAACCUCUCCAUAAUAAUUGUUAUACGACUGGUAUGAAUCUUGAAGGGCCACUUGGAGAAGAAGAAUUCAUGUAGCCGACCACAUUUGAUAGGACUUAAGGCUUGGUUUGGUUUGGUUUGCUGGACCUCUUCUGGAUGAAAGCCUAGUAAGGUCAGUAGUUGAAGAGAUAAAAUGAGUGAUCACAACUAGUUCAACUAGAAAAAGAGAAAGGUUAAAAAGAGCCAAAGCAGAAGACUUCGAUGCAGAAGAAAGGGAACUGCUGAAGAAGGAAAAUGAGUAAGAAGAGGAACUUUCUGAUCAAGUUGGUGAUUGCUUGUGCACUUUGAUCAAAACUUUCAAGGCCUAUUUCUUGACUUUUUUUGAUGAGCUAUCGUCGUAUUUAACUCCCAUGUGGGUAAGUUCUUUUACAAAAAAAAUUUAUGCUUGUCCUGCCUUUAGCGUGCAAGGAGCCUUUAGAUUUAGUGGAGUACAUUCUUUUCAUGCAUAUGAAUAGAGAUGUAACAGUAAACAAUUGGUUCUACGUGCAUUGUUUUAACAAAUGAACUUCGUGACAACUCCGCAAUUCUGUUUGAUGUGAGAAACCCUGGAUUUAAUUUUUGUAAAUUUGGUGCAUAAAACAAGGCCUAUUUUAUGUGGUGGUUUGCUUUAAAGUUAUAUUUAUUUUCAUAAGUGAUGUUCCUUCAUGUAUUCUCAUUAAGUGUGUGUGUGUGUGUGUGUGUGUGUGUUGGGGGGGUGGGGGAGGAGCAUCUAGACUCGACUUAAAUGAGUCACAAAAUGUUUUUGAACUUUUCUCGAUUAGUUUUUUUCCACCUGGGUUCAUUCACAAAUUGUAUGCCCAUUGCACUUGCUCCAUGUUCAUCUUAUGCCUCCAGUAUUUGUUGGGCAGUUAGAGCAGUAUCAAAAAAUAAGUAACCUAGAAAACUAGGGGAGUUGCAUUUUUGACGUGGAAAGUUCUUAAAAAAGUGAUGACCUAGGGAAGCAAGGAAAGAAUGAUUGUGAGUUUGUUUGUAAUUGAAUAAGAUAGAAAAGUGCCAUCGUGCCAAGCAUGACUUGAUGUCAGUAAAUGAACAAGUUGAUAAUGUGAAAGAGUAUGCAAUGAAGAUGGAAAGUGUUAGCAUUUUGUGGAAGAGACAAACUUUAUCACUGAUUCACUGGUAUGUUUCUUAGACUCCAAAAUAUUACAAGCUAGAUGCAAACUUCUGAUGUCAAAUCGAUGUAACCAAUCUA